rnacentral:rRNA from 1 species
ACUCCUACGGGAGGCAGCAGUGGGGAAUAUUGGACAAUGGGCGAAAGCCUGAUCCAGCAAUGCCGCGUGAGUGAUGAAGGCCUUAGGGUUGUAAAGCUCUUUUACCAGGGAUGAUAAUGACAGUACCUGGAGAAUAAGCUCCGGCUAACU